rnacentral:lncRNA from 1 species
UCCCCACUUGGUGAGAUGUCUGUCUGUUUCCAUGAGAUCACCAUAACCUUUACAUAGCAUAUGUGAAGGCAAAUCUUGUGUGGAUAUUGUCAUUGCCAAGCAUAUGCAGCAACACUGGGCUUUCUGCAUAAUUACGUUGCUAAAAAUAAGAAACACACACACACACACACAGUGCUUAGUGAUGACAAAAGUACAAGACUGGAUUCUUGACAUUAAAACACAGAAAGCUCAAAAACAAACAAACAAAAGGCCAACACAAAGACUUGUUUGGACGGACUAUGCUAAUGAGGUUAAGCUGUGUGCCCCAGAUGUGCUCAUUUGAUGGCCAGCCUUCUUACAGAUGUGCGCUUCAAGCCAAAGAGGCCUCGGAAGACUGUUGGAAGACCAACAAAGACAGGACUUGGGAAAAGAUUGAGAAGACUCCCAACACAUGUAGUCACCAUCCGACUGUCAGACUCUCCUGUGAGCGGAGAGCAGUUUCCCACAGCCAGAGACCAACCCUGCAAGCCUCCGCUAGCCCACCAGGGACAACUCGACAGCAUCACCGUGAACCUUCACUUGUUAUAGGCUUGUUUGUAGUUUGUUUGUUGUAUCUACAAGAUUGGCUUUUCAAAUUGAACUUUAAAAUGAUGUCUGUCUAUGUCCCGUGACAUAAAUCAGAAACUACUCAGAUUGUCA